GAUGAACGCUAGCGGCAGGCCUAACACAUGCAAGUCGAGGGAGAAGCCCUUUCGGGGGCAGAAACCGGCGCACGGGUGCGUAACGCGUAUGCAACCUACCUUUCACAGGGGGAUAGCCCGAAGAAAUUUGGAUUAAUACCCCAUCAUAUUAUUGGAUGGCAUCAUUUGAUAAUUAAAACUGCGGUGGUGACAGAUGGGCAUGCGUCCUAUUAGCUAGUUGGAGUGGUAACGGCACCCCAAGGCUACGAUAGGUAGGGGUCCUGAGAGGGCGAUCCCCCACACUGGUACUGAGACAGGGACCAGACUCCUACGGGAGGCAGCAGUGAGGAAAAUUGGUCAAUGGUCGGAAGACUGAACCAGCCAUGCCGCGUGAAGGAAGAAUGCAUUAUGGGUUGUAAACUGCUUUUAUAUGGGAAGAAUAAGGCGUACGUGGACGUUGAUGACGGUACCAUAUGAAUAAGCAUCGGCUAACUCCGU
rnacentral:rRNA from 1 species